rnacentral:rRNA from 1 species
CAUAUGCUUGUCUCAAAGAUUAAGCCAUGCAUGUCUAAGAAUAAGUCCUCAGAAUGACUAGUCUGCGAAUGGCUCAUUAAAUCAGUUAUUGUUUAUUUGAUGUGUGUAAAGGUGUAUUUAUACACUUUUACUAUUGGAUAACCGUAGUAAUUCUAGAGCUAAUACAUAUAAACCGAAGCCUUUGGAUUGAUGUCAAAGUCUGUCCAGUGGCUGCAUUUAUCAGAUUUUAAAACCGAUUGACUUUUUGGACUUGUCCAGAAAGUGUUUAUAUGGUGAUUCAUGAUAACUUAGCAAAUCGAAGUUAAAGAAAUUUGGAAAGGGCUUCACGGUCUUUUUCAGGUUUUUUCGAUGCUUCAUUCAAAUUUCUGCCCUAUCAGCUUUCGAUGGUAGGAUAUUGGCCUACCAUGGCGAUAACGGGUAACGGGGAAUCAGGGUUCGAUUCCGGAGAGGGAGCUUGAGAAAUGGCUACCACAUCCAAGGAUGGCAGCAGGCGCGCAAAUUACCCAAUCCCAAUACGGGGAGGUAGUGACAAUAAAUAACAAUGUUGGAAUAUUUUAAAAAUUCCAACAAUUGGAAUGAGAGUAAUUUAGACCUCUUCUCGAGGAACCAUUGGAGGGCAAGUCUGGUGCCAGCAGCCGCGGUAAUUCCAGCUCCAAUAGCGUAUGUUAAAGUUGUUGCAGUUAAAAAGCUCGUAGUCCAAAUUGCAAAGUCUUUAUGGAAAUGGUGUCUCUUUCCUUUAUGUGAUUUGGUUUUUUCUUUUUUCUGUUUUUUGGCUUCUUGUCAAAAUUCUAGGAAGGGAUUAAACCCCAUAAUUGAAUUUAGACAUCCCAACUUUGCUUGUACUUUGGAAAACUUUUAUUCACAGUGUAUUUUUUUAAAUACAUUGUUGGGUAAAAUUUAGUGUUCCAAUUGUUUACUUUGAGAAAACUAGAGUGUUCAAAGCAGGCGAAAUUAAAAUUUCUCUCGCAACUGAAUAAAUUAGCAUGGGAUAAUAGAAUAGGACAUUUAUGGGAAGAAGAUUUCUUUCACUUUUCCUUUUUGGGAUUGUGUUAAAUGAGCUUCUUCUUUGGUCCUAUUAUGUUUUUGAUCGGUGGUUCAAGGACCAAUGUAAUGAUUAAUAGGAACGGUUGGGGACAUUCAUAUUGCAUGGCUAGAGGUGAAAUUCUUGGAUUCAUGCAAGAUGAACUGCUGCGAAAGCGUUUGUCAAAGACGUUUUCAUUGAUCAAGAACGAAAGUUAGGGGAGCAAAGACGAUCAGAUACCGUCGUAGUCCUAACUAUAAACGAUGCCGACUAGGGAUCGGUGGGCGUUAAUAUAAAAUUGUCUUGAGAUUAUCAUUAACUUUAAAAAUUGAUUUUUUUAUCGUUCUUGAUGUUUCUUGACAAGAAAUGACCCCAUCGGCACCUCAAUUUGAUACUUCUCAAUGGGAAACCAAAGUUUUUGGGUUCCGGGGGGAGUAUGGUCGCAAGGCUGAAACUUAAAGGAAUUGACGGAAGGGCACCACCAGGAGUGGAGUUUGCGGCUUAAUUUGACUCAACACGGGAAAACUCACCAGGCCCAGACAUGGUAAGGAUUGACAGAUUGAGAGCUCUUUCUUGAUUCCAUGAAAGGUGGCGCAUGGCCGUUCUUAGUUGGUGGAGUGAUUUGUCUGGUUAAUUCCGUUAACGAACGAGACCUUGGCCUGCUAACUAGGGGGGGUUAUCGUUUGGGCAGGUUUAGUAGAGGGUUGGCUCAUUGUGUUCUAUUUUCGGAUAGGAUGCUUUGGUUAGCUUUUUUGCUACCUGUUCAUAUUUUGCGAUAGCACCUAAGAUUUAAAAAAUCUUUCAACCCUUUUUUGGUCUUAAGGGAAGAGAGUUAUUCUUUUUUUACUUGCUUUACCGUGGGUGGAAAAAGGGUUUCUCAUCAAAAUCUUUCUUUUUGAUUGAAGAAGGAAAAAUCCUUCUUAGAGGGACUAUCUGCGUUUUUACAACUAGCAGAUGGAAGCUCGAGGCAAUAACAGGUCUGUGAUGCCCUUAGAUGUCCUGGGCUGCACGCGUACUACACUGACGAAUUCAACAAGUGAUUUAAAUUUGAUUACGUUACUUGCCUUUUUUUCCUUCGGGAGGAGAGGGAGAGAGGAUGUUUUCAAAAACCUUGGCAGAAAUGUCUGGGUAAUCUCCUUAAAGUUCGUCGUGCUAGGGAUAGAUGAUUGUAAUUAUUCGUCUUCAACGAGGAA